AUACUUAUCACACGAACAUGAUACAUAUGUCUAAUGAAAGCCUGAAAUGUCUACUUUUAGAUAAGGUAAAUACAGUUCAGGGAGGCAAAUAUUGUCUUUUUGUGUAAUCUGUAUGUAAGUAAAGAGAGAUACAGCGUGCGCGCCAUUCAUAUGAAAAUUACCUAAGCGGGCUAUGCUAACAAGAUCAAUGCCCCCAAACAAUGCUAUAAGAAGCACAAAGUUUUAAUAGAUUCAUUCACUUAUCGACGAUUAGAAAAAGGAAGGAAGAGCAGGACUCAGACGACGAAUGUUUGUAUUAUAUACUGUACUGUAUACAGACUAUUUGCAAGCAGAUAUUAAGAGCGACUUUAUAGAAACAUCUCGUUCUUAUUAAGCUGUAUGCUGAUUAAUGUAAUGUGAAUAUACAAUAUGUUAUAUAGCAAUAUCACUAUUUAGAAUAUAUUUUGACUAGUGUUUAUGCCUCAACUAGUCUUGUUUACGUGACUAUCUGUUCGGGUGUAAAUGUAUCGAUGUGGUGCCAGGAGAUAUGUCACAUGUUAAUGUUUAGUCAUAAAUAUGUCCGGUAAUGGCCCGUUAACAAACAUAUACAGCGUAUCUCUGUACCCAAUUAUCUUAUCUCAGCUAUGCUUAACUGCCUAAGUUAUUGCUUUAUAAGUUUGUUACUGUGGAAAAUACAUUAUAUUAAUUAUUAAAAACUUUUGUAGGAAUGUGUCUGCAUCACUCUUGUCUUCACCUACACGGGGGCACGCAGCAAGUCAAGUCAAGUCCAGUCAAUAAGCUUUUAUUGUAAUUUCAACCAUAUAUAGCUGUUGCAGUACACAGUGAAAUGAGAUAACGUUUCUCCAGGAUCAAGGUGCAACGAGAACAAUAAAGAGUUUUUUUCUAUUAUGCGUGCAGAAUAUUUGUAUUACUGAUGAGGAAAAUACAUUAUAUUAAUUGUGUUGCUUUGUAUUUUGAAAAUACAUGAUACUAAUUAUGAUUAGUAUCAAUUUUUUAGGAAUGUGGCUGCAAAACGUUCUUCGUCUGAUACUGGCACGAGGGCACGCAGCAACGCGACCGACAUUCAUCCAGUGUAAGCCACAUUUACCAUUUUUCAUGUUCCCAGUAUUAGUAAUACCGGUGUGUUGCUUUGUACUUUGGAAAUACAUGAUACUAAUUAUGAUCUCUUUUUAGGAAUGUGGCUGCAACACGUUCACCUUCGUCUGAUACUCGCACGAGGGCACGCAGCAAAGCAACUGGGAACAAAAAAGACUAUGUUCACUCUUGAAUGUGUCUGCAUCACCUUUACCUGCUACUUACACACGCCGUAGGUCUCUUUCAGUUCUCAAAGCAACUGAGACUAAUUUAUUUAACACUGACAGUGAUAAUGCACCUGUUGCAAAGAGACUCAAGACCAACAUCCAGGCAAGCAGCAGGCAGUCCGUUCUGUCAUGCAAAACAUGUAAUGUUCCCUUGUGUGUUCAGUUAAAUAGGAACUGUUUUGAACAAUGGCAUGACAACAUUUAACAAAUUUAUAUUUAUAUAAACAUUUAAUUUAUAUGUAAAGUAUUUUUAGAUGCACACCAAACUGUAC